rnacentral:rRNA from 1 species
CCGGCUACCAUGCAGUCGAGGGGUAACAGGGGAGAGCUUGCUCUUUCGCUGACGACCGGCGCACGGGUGCGUAACGCGUAUACAACCUACCUUUUGGAGGGGAAUAGCCCAGGGAAACUUGGAUUAAUGCCCCAUAGUAUGGGAAUAUCUCCUGAUAUUUUCAUUAAACAUUUAUGGCCAUUAGAUGGGUAUGCGUCCUAUUAGUUAGUUGGUAAGGUAACGGCUUACCAAGGCAGCGAUAGGUAGGGGUCCUGAGAGGGAGAUCCCCCACACUGGUACUGAGACACGGACCAGACUCCUACGGGAGGCAGCAGUGAGGAAUAUUGGACAAUGGGCGAGAGCCUGAUCCAGCCAUGCCGCGUGCAGGAAGACUGCCCUAUGGGUUGUAAACUGCUUUUACAGAGGAAGAACCACUCCCACGUGUGGGAGUUUGACGGUACUCUGCGAAUAAGGAUCGGCUAACUCCGUGCCAGCAGCCGCGGUAAUACGGAGGAUCCAAGCGUUAUCCGGAAUCAUUGGGUUUAAAGGGUCCGUAGGCGGGCAGUUAAGUCAGUGGUGAAAGUCUUCCGCUCAACGGGAGAACUGCCAUUGAUACUGAUUGUCUUGAGUUAUUAUGAAGUGGUUAGAAUGAGUAGUGUAGCGGUGAAAUGCAUAGAUAUUACUCAGAAUACCGAUUGCGAAGGCAGAUCACUAAUAAUAUACUGACGCUGAUGGACGAAAGCGUAGGUAGCGAACAGGAUUAGAUACCCUGGUAGUCUACGCCGUAAACGAUGGUUACUAGCUGUUCGGCCCGAUUAAGGGCUGAGUGGUUAAGCGAAAGUGAUAAGUAACCCACCUGGGGAGUACGUUCGCAAGAAUGAAACUCAAAGGAAUUGACGGGGGCCCGCACAAGCGGUGGAGCAUGUGGUUUAAUUCGAUGAUACGCGAGGAACCUUACCAGGGCUUAAAUGUAGUCUGACAGGAGUGGAAACACUUUUUUCUUCGGACAGAUUACAAGGUGCUGCAUGGUUGUCGUCAGCUCGUGCCGUGAGGUGUCAGGUUAAGUCCUAUAACGAGCGCAACCCCUGUGGUUAGUUGCCAGCGAGUAAUGUCGGGAACUCUAGCCAGACUGCCGGUGCAAACCGCGAGGAAGGUGGGGAUGACGUCAAAUCAUCACGGCCCUUACGUCCUGGGCCACACACGUGCUACAAUGGUAGGGACAGAGAGCAGCCACUUCGCGAGAAGGAGCGAAUCUACAAACCCUAUCACAGUUCGGAUCGCAGUCUGCAACUCGACUGCGUGAAGCUGGAAUCGCUAGUAAUCGCAUAUCAGCCAUGAUGCGGUGAAUACGUUCCCGGGCCUUGUACACACCGCCCGUCAAGCCAUGGAAGCCGGGGGUACCUGAAGUCGGUCACCGCAAGGAGCCGCCUAGGAAGU